ensembl:misc_RNA Metazoa_SRP Metazoan signal recognition particle RNA
GCUGGGUGUGGUGACUCACACCUGUAAUCCCAGCACUUUGGGAGGCAGAGGUGGGUGGAUCACCUGAGGUCAGGAGUUUGAGACCAACCUGGCCAACAUGGCGAAACCCCAUCUCUA